rnacentral:lncRNA from 10 species
CAGAAUUCUGUCUGCUUUAGACACUCGGAGAGACUUCCAUUUCCCAUGGGCCUUGACUGCAGAAGAUUCAGAGUGAUUUGGCGCAGGUUCUGAAGUGCUGAUCGGAAGAGCCCAGCAUAGAUUUAGCGUUGCUAGAACCAUGUUGUCUUUCCAGGAAUGUUUUGACCGAGUCUGCGAGGAUCGCCCGUGGCAAAAUCACAGACCUGGCCAACCUCAGUGCAGCCAACCAUGAUGCUGCCAUCUUUCCAGGAGGCUUUGGAGCGGCUAAAAACCUGUGCGUAUUUGAGCUCCAAGGUCUUCCGCUUUCCAUGUGGAGCAGAUGGGAAGGGGGUGCACCUGUCUGCUGUCCAAUGUGGUCAGUGGAGCGGCGAUGGGAGGGGGUGGUGAUAGGAGCAGUCUCUGGGUUUAGGGUCUGGGCAGGGCACGUGCCUGCCCUCUGACUUGGGAGCUGUUCUUAGGGUUGGGUCUUAGGUAGCGUUGUAGCGAGCCAUGCUUUUGUUUCUGCUUCUCUGCUGCCUCUUCUCUCAGCAUUCCUGGUACCCAG